UACGUAGGGGGCGAGCGUUGUCCGGAUUUAUUGGGCGUAAAGAGCUCGUAGGCGGCUCGUUGCGUCGGCUGUGAAAACCCGCAGCUCAACUGUGGGCUUGCAGCUGAUACGGGCGGGCUGGGAUUCGGUAGGGGAGACUGGAAUUCCUGGUGUAGCGGUGAAAUGCGCAGAUAUCAGGAGGAACACCGGUGGCGAAGGCGGGUCUCUGGGCCGAUAUCGACGCUGAGGAGCGAAAGCGUGGGGAGCGAACAGG
rnacentral:rRNA from 1 species